UCGACCUGAGCUCAGGCAAGAUUACCCGCUGAACUUAAGCAUAUCAUUAAGCGGAG
rnacentral:rRNA from 1 species